GGGUAGAGGGGUCAGGGAAGAGGGGUCAGGGUAGAAGGGUCAGGGAAGAGGGGUCAGGGUAGAGGGGUCAGGGAAGAGGGGUCAGGGUAGAGGGGUCAGGGUAGAGGGGUCAGGGUAGAGGGGUCAGGGUAGAGGGGUCAGGGUAGAGGGGUCAGGGUAGAGAGGUCAGGGUAGAGGGGUCAGGGGAGAGGGGUCAGGGUAGAGGGGUCAGGGUAGAGGGGUGAGGGUAGAGGGGUGAGGGUAGAGGGGUGAGGGUAGAGGGGUCAGGGAAGAGGGGUCAGGUUAGAGAGGUCAGGGUAGAGAGGUCAGGGUAGAGGGGUCAGGGUAGAGGGGUCAGGGUAGAGAGGUCAGGGUAGAGUGGUCAGGGUAGAGAGGUCAGGGUAGAGAGGUCAGGGUAGAGUGGUCAGGGUAGAGAGGUCAGGGUAGAGAGGUCAGGGUAGAGAGGUCAGGGUAGAGAGGUCAGGGUAGAGAGGUCAGGGUAGAGAGGUCAGGGUAGAGGGGUCAGGGUAGAGAGGUCAGGGUAGAGAGGUCAGGGUAGAGGGGUCAGGGUAGAGAGGUCAGGGUAGAGAGGUCAGGGUAGAGGGGUCAGGGUAGAGAGGUCAGGGUAGAGGGGUCAGGGUAGAGAGGUCAGGGUAGAGGGGUCAGGGUAGAGAGGUCAGGGUAGAGAGGUCAGGGUAGAGAGGUCAGGGUAGAGAGGUCAGGGUAGAGAGGUCAGGGUAGAGAGGUCAGGGUAGAGAGGUCAGGGUAGAGAGGUCAGGGUAGAGAGGUCAGGGUAGAGAGGUCAGGGUAGAGGGGUCAGGG